rnacentral:rRNA from 1 species
UACAGAGGAGCCAAGCGUUGUCCGGAUUGACUGGGCGUAAAGCGCACGCAGGCGGUUGCGCGCGUGGGGGGUGAAAUCUGGCCGCUUAACGGCCAGGCGCCAUCCCAUACGGCGCGACUGGAGUGAUGCAGAGGUCGAUGGAAUUGCCGGUGUAGUGGUGAAAUGCGUAGAGAUCGACAGGAACACCCAGGGGGAAACCAGUCGACUGGGCAUCUACUGACGCUGAGGUGCGAGAGCGUGGGGAGCGAACCGG